CCUGGUUGAUCCUGCCAGUAGUCUUAUGCUUGUCUCAAAGAUUAAGCCAUGCAUGUGCAAGUACCGCUCUGCAUCUUGUGGGGCGUAUCUGUGGAUGGCUCAUUAAAUCAGCUAUUGUUCCUUAGAGUGUACCGAUCACUGGAUAUCUGUAGUAAUUCUAGAGCUAAUACAUGUACGCAAGCACCGAUCUCCGGAGAAGUGCGUUUUUAUUAGAACAAGACUGGCGGCGGGGAGUAACUACCUCAGCCUUCUUGUGUUGAUUCUGGGCAACUUAACUAAUCGCACGGCCUUGGAUGCUGGCGAUGUAUCUUUCAAAUGUCUGACCCAUCAGCUAGUUGGCCGGGUAGUGGCCGGAAAAGGAAUUGACGGGUAACAGAGAAUCAGGGUUCGAUUCUGGAGAGGGAGCCUGAGAAACGGCUACCACGUCCAAGGAAGGCAGCAGGCGCGCAAAUUACCCACUCCUGACCUAGGGAGGUAGUGACGAAAAAUAACGAUAGACGACUCAGUUGAGGCUGUCUAAUCGGAAUGAGUAUAGUCUAAAGCCUUGCACGAGGAGCCAGUAGAGGGCAAGUCUGGUGCCAGCAGCCGCGGUAACUCCAGCUCUACAGGCGUAAACAGGAUUUGUUGCAGUUAAAAAGCUCGUAGUUGGA
rnacentral:rRNA from 1 species